GGCCCGUUCAUCCAGCGGUCAGGAUGCCGGUCUUUCAAGUCGGCAACGGGGGUUCGACUCCCCCACGGGUCA
rfam:Chondromyces crocatus strain Cm c5, complete genome.